rnacentral:lncRNA from 13 species
CAAACGGCGGAGCAACCACGAGGUUAACGUUCAAAACCCCGCUGCUGCGCGUCGUGUGUGGGGAAAACGGAAUCAUUCUGUUUGGGAUACGUGUCCAGUGCACUUUUCGAUAACUUGACUCGCAUGAUCGUAUCGCGCGGUAUCGGAAUAAAGUUGCCGACAUCAUUUCCGGGACGUUACAAAUAAAAAAUGAAUGGAUCCUAAUUCUAGUGACGCCACGACACGUUUGAUUAAUGAGUUCGAUUCAUACAGCCACUAUUAUCAUUACUGUAGCUUCGUUUUUAAUCGCAUUUUAAUGUCCGGUAGUCGUAGAGAAUAGAGCCAAUGUUCGUAAAUGAGUGAUUUGCUAAGAUACAUGUCUCGCGAAAUUCAUUUAACCAAGAUCUAUCGCACGAACAAUCGAGGCGAGGUAGCGAUCGUAUUAUUUUACGAGCUCACGUUCCGCGGAUAUUUAUCUUCGCCCUUAACCCGUACAUUUGUUUCUCUUACGUU